rnacentral:lncRNA from 1 species
AUCACUAAAGAGAGGAAGUGAGCACAAAUAUGAGGACAGGAGAAAAAUAGGGGCCAGAAAAUAAGCAGGAAACUGAAGUCCUAAUUUUAUGGGGAACUACAUAGGAAUGGAAACAGAAAAGCUGAAGAAGAUAAGCUAAUAAACAGGGGAAUAAAUGAAGAAAAAUAAGAAGACCUGACCUUUUUGGCUGUGGAGGAGAAAUCCCUGAGUGUAU